rnacentral:rRNA from 1 species
AUUGAACGCUGGCGGCAGGCUUAACACAUGCAAGUCGAGCGAGCGGCGGACGGGUGAGUAAUGUCUGGGAAACUGCCUGAUGGAGGGGGAUAACUACUGGAAACGGUAGCUAAUACCGCAUACCAUCAGAUGUGCCCAGAUGGGAUUAGCUCGUAGGUGGGGUAAUGGCUCACCUAGGCGACGAUCCCUAGCUGGUCUGAUCGGAUGACCAUCCACACUGGAACUGAUACACGGUCCAGACUCCUACGGGAGGAAGCGGUGGGGAAUAUUGCACAAGGGGCGCAAGCUUGAUGCAGCGAUGCGGCGUGUGGGAAGAAGGCCUUCGGGUUGUAAAGCACUUUCAGCGAGGAGGCGUUACUCGCAGAAGAAGUACCGGCUAACUCCGGGCCAGCAGCCGCGGUAAUAC